UGUGGGUCUGGUGACUGGUGUCAGAGUAGGU
rnacentral:piRNA from 1 species